UACGGAAGGUCCGGGCGUUAUCCGGAUUUAUUGGGUUUAAAGGGAGCGUAGGCCGUCUGUUAAGCGUGUUGUGAAAUGUUGGGGCUCAACCUGGGCAUUGCAGCGCGAACUGGCAGACUUGAGUGCGCGGGAAGUAGGCGGAAUUCGUCGUGUAGCGGUGAAAUGCUUAGAUAUGACGAAGAACUCCGAUUGCGAAGGCAGCCUGCUGUAGCGUAACUGACGCUGAAGCUCGAAAGCGUGGGUAUCGAACAGG
rnacentral:rRNA from 1 species